GCGCGUUUCGUCUAGUGGCCCAGGACCCCGUCUAACAAGGCGGGAGACACAGGUUCGAAUCCUGUAGCGUGCACCA
rnacentral:tRNA from 1 species